UGGAGCGUAGCACCACCAAAUCACAAUGGCUUUUAACAGACCGGCAAUUAUCCAGCCAUACGUGCUUGACCCCUUGUCAGACCCAGACGCCGAACAAGAGGAAGAGGAGCCACCUAGAUCCCCACGAAUACCAAAACCAGUAUCUGAAUGGUCACAAGGCGCAUGGAGCAGGUGGAGGGCACUCAGCCUCAGUGUGUUAUCGACCAUCCUGGAUUUUAUGCCACGUCCCUCAAUGUGUAUGUGCUUCAAGCCAUGUACAACAUCUACAGAGCAGAUCAUGGACCAGUACGGCUACGGGGCAUAGAGCACCGUUACAGAUAUCUGGCGUACAGGAUGUUUGUCAGUUGGUGUUGGGGAUUCCUUGGGCGCCACAUAAGAGUUGUGGUUCCAUCAUGUGUCGUCCUGCG